UUAGUGGCGCACGGGUGAGUAACACGUAGGCAACCUACCCUUCAGUGGGGGACAACAGAGGGAAACUUCUGCUAAUACCGCAUACGGCCUUGUACUGGGAUGUACGAGGAGAAAGGAUUUAUUCGCUGAGGGAUGGGCCUGCGGCCUAUCAGGUAGUUGGUGGGGUAAAGGCCUACCAAGCCUGCGACGGGUAGCCGGACUGAGAGGUCGACCGGCCACACUGGAACUGAGACACGGUCCAGACUCCUACGGGAGGCAGCAGUGGGGAAUAUUGCACAAUGGGGGAAACCCUGAUGCAGCGACGCCGCGUGGAGGAUGACGGCCUUCGGGUUGUAAACUCCUUUUGUCAGGGACAAUGGUGAUGGUACCUGACGAAUAAGCCACGGCUAACUCUGUGCCAGCAGCCGCGGUAAGACAGAGGUGGCGAGCGUUGUUCGGAAUUACUGGGCUUAAAGGGCGCGUAGGCGGUGGUGUAAGUCUGGGGUGGAAUGCUACAGCUCAACUGUAGAGCUGCCUUGGAAACUGCAUUACUUGAGUCGGUGAGGGGAAGGCGGAAUUCCUGGUGUAGCGGUGAAAUGCGUAGAUAUCAGGAGGAAGGUCUGUGGCGAAGGCGGCCUUCUGGCACUUGACUGACGCUGAGGCGCGAAAACGUGGGGAGCAA
rnacentral:rRNA from 1 species